UAGGGAAUAUUGCGCAAUGGGCGAAAGCCUGACGCAGCGACACCGUGUGAAGGAUGAAGGUCUUCGGAUUGUAAACUUCUGUCAAUUGGGGACGAAGGUGCUAUGGUUAAUAGCUUAUAGUACUGACGGUACCCAAUAAGGAAGUCUCGGCUUACUCCGUGCCAGCAGCCGCGGUAAGACGGGGGAGGCAAGCGUUGUCCGGAAUUAUUGGGCGUAAAGAGCGCGUAGGUGGCUUAUCAAGUCAUUUGUGAAAACUUUAGGCUUAACUUAAAGAUUGCAAGUGAUACUGGUAAACUUGAGCACAGUAGAGGAAAGUGGAAUUACUGGUGUAGCGGUGAAAUGCGCAGAUAUCAGGAAGAACACCAGUGGCGAAGGCGGCUUUCUGGGCUGUUGCUGACACUGAGGCGCGAAAGCUAGGGGAGCGAACAGGAUUAGAUACCCUGGUAGUCCUAGCUGUAAACGAUGGACACUAGGUGUGGGAGGUUAUCGACGCUUUCCGUGCCGAAGUUAACGCAUUAAGUGUCCCGCCUGGGGAGUACGGCCGCAAGGCUA
rnacentral:rRNA from 1 species